rnacentral:rRNA from 1 species
UGAGGAAUAUUGGACAAUGGAGGCAACUCUGAUCCAGCCAUGCCGCGUGCAGGAAGACUGCCCUAUGGGUUGUAAACUGCUUUUAUAUAGGAAGAAACCUUGGUACGUGUACCAAGCUGACGGUACUAUAAGAAUAAGGAUCGGCUAACUCCGUGCCAGCAGCCGCGGUAAUACGGAGGAUCCAAGCGUUAUCCGGAAUCAUUGGGUUUAAAGGGUCCGUAGGUGGAUAAUUAAGUCAGAGGUGAAAUCUUGCAGCUCAACUGUAAAAUUGCCUUUGAUACUGGUUAUCUUGAGUUAUUAUGAAGUAGUUAGAAUAUGUAGUGUAGCGGUGAAAUGCAUAGAUAUUACAU